rnacentral:lncRNA from 1 species
AGUGUUGCUAAAGCACAAGUCUUUUUUUCAAGCCUUGAAUCAAGUGUACUGCAGUUGAGAGUUGUUAAAUGCUUGAUAUAACAGGGGCAUAGUGACAAACUCCAUAGUGCAAACUGUUACACGAAGGUUGAAUUAAUUCUUAAUGAAAUUAGUAAAUGUCUAUAGUAACAGGGACAUAGUAGCUAAUUUCACCUAUAUGUAUAUUGAAGUGAUGCCGCUUCAAGUAAGAUCUAAAGGGUUGGUCUUGUAAAUAUUCAUGAAAUCAGGAUGAGCACAUGGUCAUAAACGUGCUAAAGCAUAUAUUGAGUUUCAAAGCUAUAAAUAAUAUUAUGUGUGUGAUAUUUUCGAUUUUGACACAAGAUGUUGUGGUUCAAAUCUUUUAAGAUACUAAUUACUUCGUCAGAACUUUAAAGUACUUGCACUAAUAGAAAGUUCAAAUCAAUUAUAAGAUACUCUUAGGUAUGCAUGACAUUAUGAGAAAUAUUACAAACUAGUGGGGGACUGUUGGAUAUUUUGUAAUAUAUAAAGGUCUUAAAUUGAACAGACACGUUUGUUCGUAAAAGAACAUGACUAUUAUGAAAAAUCUUUUGUUCAGGAAAGAACAUGACCUUUAUGAAAAAUCAUAUGUUCAUGAAAGAACUCGACUCUUAUGAAAAGUCAUAUGUUCAUGAAAGAACAUGACUCUUAUGAAGAGUUAUCUCUUAAGUUCUAUAAAAUAUAAAGACUAUCUAAGAAGUAGCCUAUGAAAAAUCUGCAUGUAUAAACAAAGGGCUUUGUUGUAUCCUUGAAGAGAAUUGUUUGCAUUACCCCAAUGUGUAUAUGGGCAAUAACUCUUUAAAGAAUGUGAUUACACGCCUCAAAGCCAUCUUCUUCUUCAAUUAUAUUUUCUACUAUUAUUUUUCUAACAGCUAGUAUGAAAUUGAUUAGGCACUUACCCACAUGAUUUGGCCCAUCUUUCUUUCCUCCAUGAUAAAAUACUACUCAGUGAGAUAAUGUAGUCAAGUCAAUAACAAACCAAAGCAAAAGUUUGAUAUAUAAAUGAAAGUUCACCUUCUUGUGCCAUAUACUAAAUAGAUUUGAAAAUUUUGUCAAAGGUAGCUCUUCCAUGAGGAAUUCCUACUAGUAGACUUUCUUGUACUCAAAGUGAAUUGUCUAAAUCCUCUCCAUUAUCUCAUUGUUUAUCUUAUAUAAUCAUCUGAUUCUGCCCCUGAAGCUACCUCCUACUUCUUAUCUUUUAGGAUAGGAUCCUCCUUAAUCCUUUUUACAUCACAUUCUCGACUGCCUCCUAUCCGUAACAUCUAAACUUUAUAAGGUUAUGUGUGUUAUUUAGUAGUCUCAAGAAUGGAAUCUAUAAUGAUGAAGCAGUUGGAAUGUUGUUUACAAGUCUAUGAAGAAAGAAUCAAAAAGAGACAAGAAAGGCCACUUUCUUAAAACCAAUCAAGGCAUAAAGAAUGAAGAAGGUGAAAAGAGUUCUAGAGGAUAUGGACAAGAAAGAAAACGUGACAGUUGUGGAAGAGGAAGAAACAAUCGAAACAAAAGCUAACAAUGAAAAGAAAAGUCAAUACUCAAUUAUCAUUUAAAGGUUGUGGACUUGUGGUCAUGGAAAAGAAAGAUAAUUGUAGGUCAUGAUAUUUGGAUAAUAGAUCAAGCAACCAUAUGUGUGAAUAAAAAGAAAGCAUUGUCAAAAAGGAAGUAAGAGUGGAGUUCAAAUAUGUGAUGAAUCAUAAUCAAGUUGUGGAUAUCAUUAUUAAGCUUUUCAAGUUUAUUUGAAAAUUGAGAUUAACAUUUGAAACAAAGAAGAAAAUUUUAAAUUACAUUUACAGAUUUACUACAUCCCUAACGACUCUUCUUCUUCUUUCUCAUUAUCCACAAGGUUGGAUUUCCCUUCGAUUAUUGCUAUGACAUUUCCAAGAAAAAUGAUUAAUUUAUGCUAAUCAUAACACUCAAUUAUAAAUUUGUCAAACCUUUUUUCAUGUGUUUCUUGAUGGUAACCACAUCUUUUUCCUCUUUUUUAUUCAUGAUUACAACCUAUAAAUGAUCAUUGGUUUUCUCUUCAUUGUUGGGUUUGUACUUGUUACUAUUACUUCUUCCUCUUCCACCAUUAUCAUAUCCUCUUAUCAACUAGUAGCAUUCAUCAACGCUUCGAUGAUAUCAUGUUUGAAAAAUGACUAAUGCAACAAUCUAAAAAAAAGUUUAAAAGAUUUUACAAAAUUCUCUCAGAAAAGUUGAUAAUAAUGUGAAAAACAAAUAUCUUCAAUCUCCAAAGGAUGAACUUGAAGCAUUUAAAUCGAAGAAAUUUGAAUACAGUUCAAAUUGUUAUUUAAGAGCACCCGGAGCGGCAGAGGUUGUUGUGAACAAAUUAAAAAGAAAGUGGAAGAUGUCUAUAUGUUAGAGAAGUUAU